rnacentral:rRNA from 1 species
CACGUAGGGCGCGAGCGUUGUCCGGAAUUAUUGGGCGUAAAGAGCUCGUAGGCGGUCUGUCGCGUCGGCUGUGAAAACCCGGAGCUCAACUCCGGGCCUGCAGUCGAUACGGGCAGACUGGAGUUCGGCAGGGGAGACUGGAAUUCCUGGUGUAGCGGUGAAAUGCGCAGAUAUCAGGAGGAACACCGGUGGCGAAGGCGGGUCUCUGGGCCGAUACUGACGCUGAGGAGCGAAAGCGUGGGGAGCGAACAGG